UCUGUAUUUGUCACAGCUCAGAAACACAGAGAUGAUUUCUCAAAGUUCUCUGCUGUGUGUGUUGUUGCUUUAUAUUCAAGGCUCCUAUGGACAGAUUGUGAUGACUCAGUUCCCAGAUUCUGUCACUGUAUCACCAGGAGAAAGUGUCACUAUCACCUGUACAUCAAGUAUUAGUAUGGGCAGCGACGAUGUAGCCUGGUACCAACAGAAGCCAGGACAAGCGCCAAAGCCUCUUAUCUAUUAUGUAGGCAGCAAACCCUCUUGGACCCCAGACAGGUUCACUAGCAGUGGGUCUGGUACUAAGCACAUAUUUACAAUCAGCGGAGUGCAAGCAGAGGAUGCAGCAGAUUAUUACUGUCAGCAGCAUGAUGCAUUGCCUCGCACAGUGAUACAGAGCUGUACAAAAACCUUCUUCCCCUUUUCUCUGAUUGUUAUGCCAAGCUAAAAGCAGAAUUUUCAUGCAAUCUAUGUUUAUAAUAUACCAACACUGUUUUAAAGGUAAACAAUAACUUUAUCUUAAACAAAAAAAUAUUUUACUGGAUUUAACAAAAUAAAAAUGUGUUGUGUGGCUUUUAGAAAA